UAUAUUCAUAGCAUUAAAAUCCUAGAUAUGCUCACUAUGUAUGCAUCCAUAGAAACAUAUAAAGAAUUUAUCAAUGACAUAAGUAGUGAAACAAUUUUCAUCCUUUCAUAAAAGUCAUUUAAACAAAAUAUCACAACAAACUUACAAUCAUAUUCGGGGCUUCAAAACAGCCCCUAACUACUAAAAAUUAGUUACACAUUAUUCUCAAAUUAAACCAAAAGUAAAACAUGGGUUUGAGAAGAUA
rnacentral:lncRNA from 1 species